ACUUUGCAGAUGCAAUGACAUUUAACCUUUGGGAGCCUUCAUCAAAAUCGGAUUGGAUGAUAAGUAUCUUGUCCCCGGUGGUGUUUUCCAAAUAAUUCCUAAAUACAGAGAAAAGGGUUUUAAUUCAUUUAAUUAAGACCAAAUAUGCAUUUUUGUUGUGAUGUGACAAGAUGUAGUGAUGUUGUGAGCACAGUACUUGAUUUUCUUGAGAAAUGAGUGUUCAGUGUCAAAUUGCUGUAGUGAGAGGAGCUCUAUGUUUUGAACUACGUUCUGUAGCUGUUCAGUUUCUGCAGCAGUCAGAAGCCUUGAGAAUGUAGUCACCUAAGGAUUAGAAAAAAAAGAAUGCAAGUGCUAAGAUUGAAAUCUUAUGAAUUGCUCUAGAGCAGUGGUUCUAAAACAUUUUGACUCCAAAGUCCCUCAUUAUCUAUAACCGGAUUUGAAUGCCCCACAAUGUAAACUAAGAUAUAUCUGGUGCUUCUGCUGUAAUGAAAAAGCUGCUUUGCUUCAAUUAUUUUAUUUAAAGUAACUAGAAGUGGCAAUAUUUUAAAAUAUCCAAGUUUAAUAAUUAUAAAUAAGUAAAAUUAAAAUGAUUAAAUACUAAUUCCAUUGCCAGUUCACAUCUUGAUUUUUAAAGGUUUUAGCUCAUUUUAAACCUUGUUUUAAAGGUUUAGUUCACCCAAAAAUUAAUUACUCACCCUCAUUGGUAAAAUAAUACAUGUGGCAUCAGGUAUUCAACUGUAAUAUUACAAAGAAUACUUUUUGUGUGGAAACCCAAAAAAAUACACACUUUUUGUCACAGAAUAGCAUACAUUAUUUACGUUUAGUGGAUACUCUCCAAAAUGGCAACAGGGUGAUGCAGAGGAGACAAAUUGUUGAAUAAAGUCAUUAUUUUUGUUUUUUUUUGUGCACAAGAAGUAUUCUCAUAGCUUUGUAAAAUUACAGUUGAACCCCAGAUGCAACACUGAUUAUUUUACCGAUGUUCUUGUUAUGUUUCUGAACCUUGAUUGUGUAAGGAUCCUUGCUGUCUAUGGGAGGGUCAGAGAGCUCUCAGAUUCCAUCAAAAAUAUCUUAAUUUGUGUUCCGAAGAUGAACGGAGAUCUUACUGGUUUGGGACAACGUGAGGGUGAGUAAUUAAUGACAGAUUUUUCAUUUAUGGGUGAACUAUCCCUUUAAACCAUCUUUUUAAAGACUGCUGAGGCCCCCUAGUCAGUUCUAGCCCCUAAAUAAAAAACACUCUUCUACAGUAAUAAUCAGAGUAUUUAAAAUUCAAUGGAUUUACCUCUGUGAAAAAGGCAUGGCUUGGUCCUGCUUGCUGUAGGUGAGAAUGGAUGAAGUCAGCAAGGGAACUGUGCUUCUGGUCUUCAAAGUAUACCCUUGACAAGUGGUCACCUUCUACAUUGGAGAGGGUAGUGCAGUCCAGCCUAACCACGGCAUCUGGUGUUGCACAGUUUAAAAGGAUCAAUUUAGCCUCAUCUAAGAUCACUUUUCUAGGAUCUGAGAGCUUGUGCCCUUUGAGAUGCUCUGUAACUUGUAGCACAACAGAUGCACAAGUGUCCGAGUGGUAGCCAAUGAAAGCAUCAGCUGGAAGGUAACGGCGUGCUUGGGGAGCAAUUGAGUGCUUGCCUCUAGCAGAAAUGAAGGAUUGAACCCACUGCUCAAGCUUCUCAACAAGGUCUUUUUGCUCACUCUUUAGUACAGUAUUGAGGUCAAGAUAAUGUUUCUCCAAUCUGUUGAUCAAUGGAAUUGGAAACUGCUUGUACACAAUGUCCUUCUCUUCAAUGACAAUGAGCCUGAAAUCUCUGUGUACUCUGCAUUUGACUCUGUGGGUUCCAAGCCCCAAAUCCACAUAUUUCUGACCUCCAAGGCUAACGUAAUAUUGGUUGAGGGCAUCAUACAAGCUUUCGUACAAGUUCUGCAAGUUCAAAAGCACAACGGUUUGGCCAGUUUCCAUACAGAUCUUGACACGGUUAAUGUUGCGGCAUAUCUGAGUAUACUCCUGGUCUUUUGGAAAGCUUGAACCAAAGAUAAUCUCUGGCUGGUACUUGUCUGAAAAAAAUUCCUGCUGAAGAUUACCCAAGAGUCUCCUGGUCUUCGCUACUGAGUUUCCAACAGCUCUCUCCACUAAUCUUCUCCCUAUACACAAAUGACUGCAUUUCUACAGUAGUCAAACUAGUCAAACUCCUGAGGUAUACAGAUCAUACCACCAUGGCUGGACUUACCAUUGGGCUUGAAUGGGCUGCAGCCCAUGGGCCCCGCCUUGUAGGGGGCCCCACCUUUGCCCAUUUAAGUUUAUUUGAUUUAUU
ensembl:lncRNA